UACGGGGGGGGCAAGCGUUGUUCGGAAUUACUGGGCGUAAAGGGCUCGUAGGUGGCCAACUAAGUCAGACGUGAAAUCCCUCGGCUUAACCGGGGAACUGCAUCUGAUACUGGAUGGCUUGAGUUCGGGAGAGGGAUGCGGAAUUCCAGGUGUAGCGGUGAGAUGCGUAGAUAUCUGGAGGAACACCGGUGGCGAAGGCGGCAUCCUGGACCGACACUGACGCUGAGGAGCGAAAGCCAGGGGAGCAAACGGG
rnacentral:rRNA from 1 species